rnacentral:rRNA from 1 species
AUACGGAGGGUGCAAGCGUUGUUCGGAAUUACUGGGCGUAAAGCGUUCGUAGGCGGUUAUUUAAGUUAGAUGUGAAAGCCCCGGGCUUAACCUGGGAACUGCAUUUAAAACUGGAUAACUAGAGUUUAGGAGAGGGAAGUGGAAUUUCAGGUGUAGCAGUGAAAUGCGUAGAGAUCUGAAGGAACACCAGUGGCGAAGGCGACUUCCUGGACUAGAACUGACGCUGAGGAACGAAAGCGUGGGUAGCAAACGGGAUUAGAUACCCGUGUAGUCC